GAUUAACGCUAGCGGCAGGCAUAAUACAUGCAAGUUGAACGGCAGCACAGGUAGCAAUACUGGGUGGCGAGUGGCGCACGGGUGCGUAACACGUAUGCAACCUACCCUAUACAGGCGAAUAACCUUUAGAAAUGAGGGCUAAUACGCCGUAGUAUUACAGAUGGGCAUCUAUUUGUAAUUAAAGAUUUAUCGGUAUAGGAUGGGCAUGCGUCCCAUUAGUUAGUUGGUAAGGUAACGGCUUACCAAGACGAUGAUGGGUAGGGGAUCUGAGAGGACUUACCCCCACACUGGUACUGAGACACGGACCAGACUACUACGGGAGGCAGCAGUAAGGAAUAUUGGGCAAUGGCCGCGAGGCUGACCCAGCCAUGCCGCGUGCAGGAAGACGGCCUUAUGGGUUGUAAACUGCUUUUAUACGGGAAUAAUAGAGUGUACGCGUACAUUUAUGCAAGUAUCGUAUGAAUAAGCAUCGGCUAACUCCGUG
rnacentral:rRNA from 1 species